rnacentral:rRNA from 1 species
UACGAAGGGUGCAAGCGUUAAUCGGAAUUACUGGGCGUAAAGCGCGCGUAGGUGGUUCGUUAAGUUAGGAGUGAAAGCCCCGGGCUCAACCUGGGAAUUGCUUCUAAAACUGGCGGGCUAGAGUAUGGUAGAGGGUGGUGGAAUUUCCUGUGUAGCGGUGAAAUGCGUAGAUAUAGGAAGGAACAUCAGUGGCGAAGGCGACCACCUGGACUGAUACUGACACUGAGGUUCGAAAGCGUGGGGAGCAAACAGGAUUAGAUACCCCGGUAGUCCCUGAGCGGG